rnacentral:rRNA from 1 species
UACGAAGGGGGCUAGCGUUGCUCGGAAUCACUGGGCGUAAAGGGUGCGUAGGCGGGUCUUUAAGUCAGGGGUGAAAUCCUGGAGCUCAACUCCAGAACUGCCUUUGAUACUGGCGAGCUUGAGUUCGGGAGAGGUGAGUGGAACUGCGAGUGUAGAGGUGAAAUUCGUAGAUAUUCGCAAGAACACCAGUGGCGAAGGCGGCUCACUGGCCCGAUACUGACGCUGAGGUGCGAAAGCGUGGGGAGCAAACAGG